rnacentral:rRNA from 1 species
UGGGGAAUAUUGGACAUUGGGCGCAAGCCUGAUCCAGCCAUGCCGCGUGAGUGAUGAAGGCCCUAGGGUUGUAAAGCUCUUUUGGCGGGGAAGAUAAUGACGGUACCCGCAGAAUAAGCCCCGGCUAACUUCGUGCCAGCAGCCGCGGUCAUACGAAGGGGGCUAGCGUUGCUCGGAAUCACUGGGCGUCAAGCGCACGUAGGCGGAUUCUUAAGUCAGAGGUGAAAGCCUGGAGCUCAACUCCAGAACUGCCUUUGAUACUGGGAGUCUCGAGUUCGGGAGAGGUGAGUGGAACUGCGAGUGUAGAGGUGAAAUUCGUAGAUAUUCGCAAGAACACGAGUGGCGAAGGCGGCUCACUGGCCCGAUGCUGACGCUGAGGUGCGAAAGCGUGGGGAGCAAACA